GAAAAAGCCGGGGCCUGUUGCCAUUUACUGUGAAUGGGUCUCUCGUAAACUUCAGGGAAAUAAAAGUGCAUUUUCAUUAUUGCAACCUAAUUCAUAUGGAUUUCUCUAUUGGUUUCUGUAGUUAAGUGCAUUU